rnacentral:rRNA from 1 species
AGAGUUUGAUCCUGGCUCAGGAUGAACGCUAGCGGUAGGCUUAACACAUGCAAGUUGAACGGUAACAGGGGUAGCAAUACCUGCUGACGAGUAGCGCACGGGUGAGUAACGCGUAUGCAACCUACCCUUAACAGGAAGAUAGCCCGGGGAAACCCGGAUUAAUACUCCAUAAUAUAUUUUUGUGGCAUCAUAAAAAUAUUAAAACUCCGGUGGUUAAGGAUGGGCAUGCGUGUCAUUAGGUAGUUGGUGAGGUAACGGCUCACCAAGCCCACGAUGACUAGGGGUUCUAAAAGGAUUAUCCCCCACACUGGUACUGAGACACGGACCAGACUCCUACGGGAGGCAGCAGUGAGGAAUAUUGGUCAAUGGGCGCGAGCCUGAACCAGCCAAUCCGCGUGAAGGAUGACUGCCCUAUGGGUUGUAAACUUCUUUUAUAUGAGAAGAACGGCAAUUACGUGUAAUUGUAUGACUGUAUCAUAUGAAUAAGCAUCGGCUAACUCCGUGCCAGCAGCCGCGGUAAUACGGGGGAUGCAGGCGUUAUCCGGAUUUAUUAGGUUUAAAGGGUGCGUAGGCCGUUUAUUAAGUCAGUGGUAAAAUCCUGCAGCUCAACUGUAGGAUGUCCAUUGAUACUGAUAAACUUGAGUGCAGUUGAGGUAGGCGGAAUGUGUAGUGUAGCGGUGAAAUGCAUAGAUAUUACACAGAACACCGAUUGCGAAGGCAGCCUGCUAAACUGUAACUGACGCUGAUGCACGAAAGCGUGGGUAUCAAACAGGAUUAGAUACCCUGGUAGUCCACGCCGUAAACGAUGAUCACUCGUUGUGUGCGAUACAUAGUACGUGGCUGAGCGAAAGCAUUAAGUGAUCCACCUGGGGAGUACGAUCGCAAGGUUGAAACUCAAAGGAAUUGACGGGGGCCCGCACAAGCGGAGGAACAUGUGGUUUAAUUCGAUGAUACGCGAGGAACCUUACCUGGGCUUAAAUGUAGUUAGCUUUAGUUCGAAAGAAUUUUUUCCUUCGGGACUGAUUACAAGGUGCUGCAUGGUUGUCGUCAGCUCGUGCCGUGAGGUGUCGGGUUAAGUCCCAUAACGAGCGCAACCCCUAUUGUUAGUUACCAGCAUGUAAAGAUGGGGACUCUAACAAGACUGCCACCGUAAGGUGUGAGGAAGGCGGGGAUGACGUCAAAUCAGCACGGCCCUUACGUCCAGGGCUACACACGUGUUACAAUGGCCGGUACAAAGGGCAGCUACUUGGUAACAAGAUGCUAAUCUCAAAAACCGGUCUCAGUUCGGAUCGAAGUCUGCAACUCGACUUCGUGAAGCUGGAUUCGCUAGUAAUCGCGCAUCAGCCAUGGCGCGGUGAAUACGUUCCCGGGCCUUGUACACACCGCCCGUCAAGCCAUGGAAGCCGGGGGUACCUGAAGUCCGUCACCGCAAGGAUCGGCCUAGGGUAAAACUGGUAACUGGGGCUAAGUCGUAACAAGGUA